rnacentral:rRNA from 1 species
GACGAACGCUGGCGGCGUGCUUAACACAUGUAAGUCGAACGAUGAAGAAAAGAAUUGAAGCUUCGGCAGAAAUUCAUUUCGGAUUAGUGGCAGACGGGUGAGUAACGCGUGAGCAACCUACCUCUUACAAAGGGAUAGCCUCGGGAAACCGGGAUUAAUACCAUAUAACAUUGCGACGAAGCAUUUCGAUGCAAUCAAAGCUACGGCGGUAAGAGAUGGGCUCGCGUCCCAUUAACCAGAUGGUGAGGUAACGGCUCACCAUAGUAACGAUGGGUAACCGGCGUGAGAGGGUGACAGGUCACACUGGAACUGAGACACGGUCCAGACUCCUACGGGAGGCAGCAGUGGGGAAUAUUGCACAAUGGAGGGAACUCUGAUGCAGCGACGCCGCGUGAGUGAUGAAGGAAUUCGUUCCGUAAAACUCUGUUCUAUGGGAAGAAAAGGACUGUACCAUAGGAGAAAGCUCCGGCUAAAUACGUG